CUACGGGGGGCUCCAGUGAGGAAUAUUGCACAAUGGGGGGAACCCUGAUGCAGCAACGCCGCGUGGAGGAUGACGCAUUUCGGUGUGUAAACUCCUUUUAUAUGUCAAGAAAAUGACGGUAGCAUAUGAAUAAGCACCGGCUAACUCCGUGCCAGCAGCCGCGGUAAUACGGAGGGUGCAAGCGUUACUCGGAAUCACUGGGCGUAAGGACGCGUAGGCGGGUUGGAAAGUCAGGUGUGAAAUCCUACAGCUUAACUGUAGAACUGCACUUGAAACUUCUAAUCUAGAGUAUGGGAGGGGGAGAUGGAAUUAGUGGUGUAGGGGUAAAAUCCGUAGAUAUCACUAGGAAUACCUAAAGCGGAGGCGAUCUCCUGGAACAUUACUGACGCUAAGGCGUGAAAGCGUGGGGAGCAAACAGGAUUAGAUACCCGAGUAGUC
rnacentral:rRNA from 1 species